UGUGCCUUUCGGGAGGGAAGGAUGUGCACAAUGCACUCUUAAGUAGUGUAAAGGACCUAGCAAGGUUAUUCUCAAGUUAUAGUGACGAAGUGUUGGCAAAACGUGACGAGCUGCUUCAGUUUGCUCAGGGUGCGAUCUCAGGGCUAAAGAUAAAUGCUGACAUUGCAAGAUUAGAUAAUGAAAUUACUCAGUUGCAACAGCAGAUAAAGUCAAUGGAUGCGC